rnacentral:rRNA from 1 species
AUUGAACGCUGGCGGCAUGCUUUACACAUGCAAGUCGAACGGUAACAGGGUGCUUGCACCGCUGACGAGUGGCGAACGGGUGAGUAAUGCGUCGGAACGUGCCGAGUAGUGGGGGAUAACGCAGCGAAAGUUGUGCUAAUACCGCAUACGUACUGAGGUAGAAAGUGGGGGACCUUCGGGCCUCACGCUAUUCGAGCGGCCGACGUCUGAUUAGCUAGUAGGUGAGGUAAAGGCUCACCUAGGCGACGAUCAGUAGCGGGUCUGAGAGGAUGAUCCGCCACACUGGGACUGAGACACGGCCCAGACUCCUACGGGAGGCAGCAGUGGGGAAUUUUGGACAAUGGGCGAAAGCCUGAUCCAGCCAUGCCGCGUGUCUGAAGAAGGCCCUCGGGUUGUAAAGGACUUUUGUCAGGGAGGAAAUCCCUAGUGCUAAUAACACUGGGGGAUGACAGUACCGACAGAAUAAGCACCGGCUAACUUCGUGCCAGCAGCCGCCGUAA